rnacentral:rRNA from 1 species
AUUGAACGCUGGCGGCAUGCCUUACACAUGCAAGUCGAACGGUAACGGGCCUUCGGGUGCCGACGAGUGGCGCACGGGUGCGUAAUACAUCGGAACGUGCCCGAUCGUGGGGGAUAACGAGGCGAAAGCUUUGCUAAUACCGCAUACGAUCUACGGAUGAAAGCAGGGGACCGCAAGGCCUUGCGCGGACGGAGCGGCCGAUGGCAGAUUAGGUAGUUGGUGGGAUAAAAGCUUACCAAGCCGACGAUCUGUAGCUGGUCUGAGAGGAUGAUCAGCCACACUGGGACUGAGACACGGCCCAGACUCCUACGGGAGGCAGCAGUGGGGAAUUUUGGACAAUGGGCGCAAGCCUGAUCCAGCCAUGCCGCGUGCAGGAUGAAGGCCUUCGGGCUGUAAACUGCUUUUGUACGGAACGAAAAGCCUUCUUUUAAUACAGGAGGGUCAUGACGGUACCGUAAGAAUAAGCACCGGCUAACUACGUG